rnacentral:rRNA from 1 species
AGUGAACGCUGGCGGUAGGCCUAACACAUGCAAGUCGAACGGCAGCACAGUAAGAGCUUGCUCUUACGGGUGGCGAGUGGCGGACGGGUGAGGAAUACAUCGGAAUCUACUUUUUCGUGGGGGAUAACGUAGGGAAACUUACGCUAAUACCGCAUACGACCUACGGGUGAAAGCAGGGGAUCUUCGGACCUUGCGCGAUUGAAUGAGCCGAUGUCGGAUUAGCUAGUUGGCGGGGUAAAGGCCCACCAAGGCGACGAUCCGUAGCUGGUCUGAGAGGAUGAUCAGCCACACUGGAACUGAGACACGGUCCAGACUCCUACGGGAGGCAGCAGUGGGGAAUAUUGGACAAUGGGCGCAAGCCUGACCCAGCCAUACCGCGUGGGUGAAGAAGGCCUUCGGGUUGUAAAGCCCUUUUGUUGGGAAAGAAAAGCAGCAGGUUAAUACCCCGCUGUUCUGACGGUACCAAAAGAAUAAGCACCGGCUAACUUCGUG